GAUGAACGCUGGCGGCGUGCCUAAUACAUGCAAGUCGAGCGAACGGACGAGAAGCUUGCUUCUCUGAUGUUAGCGGCGGACGGGUGAGUAACACGUGGAUAACCUACCUAUAAGACUGGGAUAACUUCGGGAAACCGGAGCUAAUACCGGAUAAUAUUUUGAACCGCAUGGUUCAAAAGUGAAAGACGGUCUUGCUGUCACUUAUAGAUGGAUCCGCGCUGCAUUAGCUAGUUGGUAAGGUAACGGCUUACCAAGGCAACGAUGCAUAGCCGACCUGAGAGGGUGAUCGGCCACACUGGAACUGAGACACGGUCCAGACUCCUACGGGAGGCAGCAGUAGGGAAUCUUCCGCAAUGGGCGAAAGCCUGACGGAGCAACGCCGCGUGAGUGAUGAAGGUCUUCGGAUCGUAAAACUCUGUUAUUAGGGAAGAACAUAUGUGUAAGUAACUGUGCACAUCUUGACGGUACCUAAUCAGAAAGCCACGGCUAACUACGUGCCAGCAGCCGCGGUAAUACGUAGGUGGCAAGCGUUAUCCGGAAUUAUUGGGCGUAAAGCGCGCGUAGGCGGUUUUUUAAGUCUGAUGUGAAAGCCCACGGCUCAACCGUGGAGGGUCAUUGGAAACUGGAAAACUUGAGUGCAGAAGAGGAAAGUGGAAUUCCAUGUGUAGCGGUGAAAUGCGCAGAGAUAUGGAGGAACACCAGUGGCGAAGGCGACUUUCUGGUCUGUAACUGACGCUGAUGUGCGAAAGCGUGGGGAUCAAACAGGAUUAGAUACCCUGGUAGUCCACGCCGUAAACGAUGAGUGCUAAGUGUUAGGGGGUUUCCGCCCCUUAGUGCUGCAGCUAACGCAUUAAGCACUCCGCCUGGGGAGUACGACCGCAAGGUUGAAACUCAAAGGAAUUGACGGGGACCCGCACAAGCGGUGGAGCAUGUGGUUUAAUUCGAAGCAACGCGAAGAACCUUACCAAAUCUUGACAUCCUUUGACAACUCUAGAGAUAGAGCUUUCCCCUUCGGGGGACAGAGUGACAGGUGGUGCAUGGUUGUCGUCAGCUCGUGUCGUGAGAUGUUGGGUUAAGUCCCGCAACGAGCGCAACCCUUAAGCUUAGUUGCCAUCAUUAAGUUGGGCACUCUAAGUUGACUGCCGGUGACAAACCGGAGGAAGGUGGGGAUGACGUCAAAUCAUCAUGCCCCUUAUGAUUUGGGCUACACACGUGCUACAAUGGACAAUACAAAGGGCAGCGAAACCGCGAGGUCAAGCAAAUCCCAUAAAGUUGUUCUCAGUUCGGAUUGUAGUCUGCAACUCGACUAUAUGAAGCUGGAAUCGCUAGUAAUCGUAGAUCAGCAUGCUACGGUGAAUACGUUCCCGGGUCU
rnacentral:rRNA from 1 species